GACGAACGCUGGCGGCGUGCCUAAUACAUGCAAGUUGAGCGCUGAAGGUUGGUACUUGUACCAACUGGAUGAGCAGCGAACGGGUGAGUAACGCGUGAGGAAUCUGCCUUUGAGCGGGGGACAACAUUUGGAAACGAAUGCUAAUACCGCAUAAAAACUUUAAACACAAGUUUUAAGUUUGAAAGAUGCAAUUGCAUCACUCAAAGAUGAUCCCGCGUUGUAUUAGCUAGUUGGUGAGGUAAAGGCUCACCAAGGCGAUGAUACAUAGCCGACCUGAGAGGGUGGUCGGCCACAUUGGGAGUGAGACACGGCCCAAACGCAUACGGGAGGCAGCAGUAGGGAAUCGUCAGCAAUGAGCGAAAGUCUGACCGAGCAGCGCCGCGUGAGUGAAGAAGGUUUUCGGAUCGUAAAACUCUGUUGGUAGGGAAGAACGUGGGUGAGAGUGGAAAGCACAUCAAGUGACGGUAACUACCCAGAAAGGGACGGCUAACUACGUG
rnacentral:rRNA from 1 species